UUGGAGGGCAAGUCUGGUGCCAGCAGCCGCGGUAAUUCCAGCUCCAAUAGCGUAUAUUAAAGUUGUUGCAGUUAAAAAGCUCGUAGUUGAAUUUCGGAGUUUGUCGGUUGGUCGGGCUUCAUUGUCCGCACUGGCCUGAUGGAUUCCUACCUUCUGAAUAACCAGCAUGCUAUUAAGUUAGUGCGUUGGGGAAGCAGAGCUAUUACCUUGAAAAAAUUAGAGUGCUCAAAGCAGGCUUAUGCUUGAAUAGAUUAGCAUGGAAUAAUAAAAUAGGACGGCAUGGUUCUAUUUUGUUGGUUUCUAGGAUCACCGUAAUGAUUAAUAGGGAUAGUUGGGGGCAUUAGUAUUCAAUUGUCAGAGGUGAAAUUCUUGGAUUUAUUGAAGACUAACUUCUGCGAAAGCAUUUGCCAAGGAUGUUUUCAUUAAUCAAGAACGAAAGUUAGGGGAUCGAAGACGAUCAGAUACCGUCGUAGUCUUAACCAUAAACUAUGCCGACUAGGGAUCGGACGAUGUUAAUUUUUUAAUGACUCGUUCGGCGCCUUACGGGAAAC
rnacentral:rRNA from 1 species